AAUGAACGUUGGCGGCGUGGAUUAGGCAUGCAAGUCGAGCGUGAUAGGUUUGGUGCUUGCAUUAAACCUUGAAAGCGGCGAAAGGGACAGUAACGCGUAGAUACCUACCUCCAGGUCCGGGAUAGCGGCGGGAAACUGCCGGUAAUACCGGAUAAUGUCUUCGGACCAAAGGUGUGAUUCCGCUUGGAGACGGAUCUGCGUCCUAUUAGCUAGUUGGGGGGGUAAUGGCCCACCAAGGCGAUGAUGGGUAGCGGGCGUGAGAGCGUGGCCCGCGUCACUGGGACUGAGACACUGCCCAGGCACCUACGGGUGGCUGCAGUCGAGAAUCUUCGGCAAUGGGCGCAAGCCUGACCGAGCGACGCCGCGUGCGGGAUGAAGGCCUUCGGGUUGUAAACCGCUGUCGGAGAGGCGGAAAUCUCUAGGGGUUCUCCCCUGGAGUUGACCUAAUCUCGGAGGAAGUCCGGGCUAAGUUCGUGCCAGCCGCCGCCGUAACAC
rnacentral:rRNA from 1 species